CAGACGGGUGAGUAACGCGUGGUCAACCUACCGUUGAGGUGGGGGAUAACUAGCCGAAAGGUUAGCUAAUACCGCAUACGUCUCCGAGGGGCAUCCCUUGGCGAUAAAAGGAGCAAUCCGCUCGAUGACGGGACCGCCGUCCCAUUAGCUAGAUGGUGGGGUAACGGCCUACCAUGGCACCGAUGGGUAGCUGGUUUGAGAGAGCGACCAGCCACACUGGGACUGAGAAACGGCCCAG
rnacentral:rRNA from 1 species